UACGUAGGUGGCAAGCGUUGUCCGGAUUUACUGGACGUAAAGAGCGCGCAGGCGGUCGUAUAAGUCGAAUGUGAAAGCCCCCGGCUCAACUGGGGAGGGUCAUUCGAUACUGUUCGACUCGAAGGCAGGAGAGGGAAGUGGAAUUCCGGGUGUAGUGGUGAAAUGCGUAGAUAUCCGGAGGAACACCAGUGGCGAAGGCGACUGGCUGGUCUGCUCUUGACGCUGAGGCGCGAAAGCUAGGGUAGCAAACGGG
rnacentral:rRNA from 1 species